GAGGGUGUAGCUCAGUGGUAGAGCGCAUGAUUAGCGUACACAAGGUCAUGGGUUCAAUCCCCAGUGCCUCCA
rnacentral:tRNA from 1 species